rnacentral:lncRNA from 1 species
CAAAACCUGAGUUGGGUGGUAACACUUAGGAGACGAUCAACACAGUCAGCCUGGUCUACAGACUGAGACCAAAGCCAGCUAAUGCUAAAUAGCAAGACCCUAUCUGAAAACCACUAUAACAAAUCAGAGAGCCUGGCUCCCCAAGCCAUGUUCCCCUUGACAAAUUGCUGCUACUUAAAUAGAGCAGUUGCCUCCUUUGCAUAAAGUUUGUUCUCCGGUUUACUGUAGUCCCCUCCACCCCCAGUCAUCUCUCAUCUGCAAGCUAGAAGAAAGUUAAAGCUAAAGGCAGGUAGGGGUCUAUGGACCUCAGCCUCCACCCUGCCACUUAAUUUCCAUGUUCCUCUGAAUAUGAUUUGCCUUUCUGACCUUUAAGGCAGGGUCACAUGUAUCCCAGGCUAGUUUCCAACUCAUUAUGUAGCCAAGGAUGGCCUGAACUCCUGAUCUUCCUGUCUCCACUUCCCCAAUGCUGACAGUUCAUUUUAGCCACCGCAACUGGCUAACUUGUAUUCCUCGUUGCUACAUUUCCAGAGCCUGAUAUAACCCCUGGCACAUGGCUGUUACUCUGCAAACGUGUUGGAUAUGUGGAUUUAAUGUCUCCCUACCUUUACCCUUAGUGUGUCCCAUACUACAUUAUCCUUGGCUUAUUUUUUAAAUAGAAAUGCAAAGGUUUACCAUUUCCAAAUUAUAUAUGCUGGUUUUCUUUCUUUUUCCUUUUUGUUUCUUUAAAAGGUUAAAGAGCAGGAAGAUGUUUCAGAGUUGUUGGGGCUUUAUUGUAGUCAGCUGAGACCCAGCCCAGGAGAAAAAUGUGCACUCCUCUGGGACUGGCUCCUCUAAGAUCACUAUCAGGAUGCCGGGCCAUGUAGGAAUCAAUGUUUCAGAGGGUUAGAGUUUGAAAUGCCUGCAUUUAUGUGCUACCCCUUGAGAGCCCCAGAGGCUGUACAAACACACUCAGGGCAUUAAGUGCUCCUUGAAGUGCCUUCCUCAGAAACUAUGCUUUCAGAGAAAGAUACAUUUCCGUAAAGCCAAACCCCAGUCCAUGGCUCUCAGUGGCUGUCUCCGAGUGCCGGAGGUGCCUCCCCA